AGUAACCUACGGGAGGCAGCAGUGAGGAAUAUUGGUCAAUGGCCGAGAGGCUGAACCAGCCAAGUCGCGUGAACGAGGAAGGUCUUCGGAUCGUAAAGUUCUGUUGAAGGGGAAAAAGAGCGGAGAGAGGAAAUGAACUCCGAUUGAUAUUACCCUUCGAGGAAGUCACGGCUAACUACGUGCCAGCAGCCGCGGUAAUACGUAGGUGGCGAGCGUUAUCCGGAAUGAUUGGGCGUAAAGGGUGCGUAGGCGGCCUGCUAAGUCUGGAGUGAAAGGUACCGGCUCAACCGGUACAGGCUCUGGAA
rnacentral:rRNA from 1 species